UACGUAGGGUGCAAGCGUUGUCCGGAAUCAUUGGGCGUAAAGCGCGCGUAGGUGGCUUCGUAAGUCCGUUGUGAAAGUCAAAGGCUCAACCUUUGAAAGCCGAUGGAUACUGCGGAGCUAGAGUACGGAAGAGGCGAGUGGAAUUCCUGGUGUAGCGGUGGAAUGCGCAGAUAUCAGGAGGAACACCAAUAGCGAAGGCAGCUCGCUGGGACGUUACUGACGCUGAGACGCGAAAGCGUGGGGAGCAAACAGG
rnacentral:rRNA from 1 species